rnacentral:rRNA from 1 species
GCCUACGGGGGGCAGCAGUGGGGAAUAUUGCACAAUGGGGGAAACCCUGAUGCAGCGACGCCGCGUGAGUGAAGAAGUAUCUCGGUACGUAAAGCUCUAUCAGCAGGGAAGAAAAAAAGUCUUUGGCUUUGGACGGUACCUGACUAAGAAGCCCCGGCUAACUACGUGCCAGCAGCCGCGGUAAUACGUAGGGGGCAAGCGUUAUCCGGAUUUACUGGGUGUAAAGGGUGCGUAGACGGGAAAGCAAGUUAGUUGUGAAAUCCCUCGGCUUAACUGAGGAACUGCAACUAAAACUACUUUUCUUG